UACAGGGGGUGCAAACGUUGCUCGGAAUCAUUGGGCGUAAAGCGCACGUAGGCGGUUCGUUAUGUCGGAUGUGAAGCCUUGGCUUAACCGAGGAAGUGCAUCCGAAACUGGCGAGCUAGAGUACUAAAGAGGAUCGCGGAAUUCCGGUGUAGCGGUGAAAUGCGUAGAUAUCGGAGGAACACCUGUGGCGAAAGCGGCUCACUGGACCACAACUGACGCUGAGGCGCGAAAGCUAGGGGAGCAAACAGG
rnacentral:rRNA from 1 species